rnacentral:rRNA from 1 species
AACGUAGGAGGCGAGCGUUAUCCGGAUUUACUGGGUGUAAAGCGCAUGCAGGCGGUAUGUUAAGUUGGGUGUGAAAGCUCCUGGCCAAACUGGGAGAGGUCGCUCAAGACUGACAGACUAGAGCGUGGUAGGGGAAGGUGGAAUUCCGGGUGUAGUGGUGAAAUGCGUAGAUAUCCGGAGGAACACCAGUGGCGAAAGCGGCCUUCUAGACCAUGACUGACGCUCAGAUGCGACAGCUAGGGUAG